rnacentral:rRNA from 1 species
AGAUUAAGCCAUGCAUGUCUAAGUGCAAGCCGUCUUGUAUACGGUGAAACCGCGAAAGGCUCAUUAAAUCAGUUAUGGUUCCUUAGAUAGUACCCACACUUACUUGGAUAACUGUGGUAAUUCUAGAGCUAAUACAUGCCGACAGAGUUCCGACCAGCGCUGCCGCGACGGCGUUUCCCAAACGUUUCGUCGCCGGUGUUCGGAAGGAACGCUUUUAUUAGAUCAAAACCGGCCGGACGGUCGCGCCGUGUGCCCUUUGUGGUCGCGGCCGGCUGUAAGUGGCCCGCGCAAUGACUUGGUGACUCUGAAUAACUUCGAGCUGAUCGCACGGUCCUGGUACCGGCGACGUAUCUUUCAAAUGUCUGCCUUAUCAACUGUCGAUGGUAAGUUCGACGCUUACCAUGGUGUUAACGGGUAACGGGGAAUCAGGGUUCGAUUCCGGAGAGGGAGCCUGAGAAACGGCUACCACAUCUAAGGAAGGCAGCAGGCGCGUAAAUUACCCACUCUUCGUUCGAGGAGGUAGUGACGAAAAAUAACGAUACGGGACUCAUCCGAGGCCCCGUAAUCGGAAUGAGUACACUUUAAAACCUUGGUCACACGAGGAUCAAU